GUGUGUGUGUGUGUGUGCAUCCUAUGGGACAUUUGGCAAUGUCUGGAGACUUUUUUGGUUGUGACAACUCAGGGAGUGCAACUGGCA